rnacentral:rRNA from 1 species
CCCUUAGAUGGUCUGGGCCGCACGCGCGCUACACUGAUGAAUUCAACGAGCUCCUAACCUAGGCCGAAGGGUCCGGGUAAUCUUUGAAAUUUCAUCGUGAUGGGGAUAGAUUAUUGCAAUUAUUAAUCUUCAACGAGGAAUUCCUAGUAAGCGCGAGUCAUCAGCUCGCGUUGAUUACGUCCCUGCCCUUUGUACACACCGCCCGUCGCUCCUACCGAUUGAAUGGUCCGGUGAAAUGUUCGGACCGCGACAAGGCGGACGGUUCGCUGUCAGCUUUGCUGCGGGAAGUUCAUUAAACCUUAUCAUUUAGAGGAAGGAGAAGUCGUAACA